rnacentral:tRNA from 1 species
GGGGUUGUAGCUCAGUGGUAGAGCACUUGCCUCCCAUGUGUAAAGCACUGGGUUCAAGUCUCAGCACCA